UACAAAGCCUAUGGGUUUGGUAAUGGUUUGGUAUCGGUUUGGUAUCAGAUUACAACAAAGCACUUGUUGCUAGUUUGCUGCAAUGGUAGAUGCGAAGAAGCCUAAAUACAGUGAAGCAAAAAGAUAAGCUGACAGAGCUCCUUCAAAACCUAAAUUCAACCUUGGAAUUACUUUUCUUCGGUGGCGUCAGCUGAAGUUUGCCAAGGGAAUGAAAAGCGACACGGAGUUGGCCUGUUUUCUGUUGGACUUGUCGGGAAAGGAAAGGGACAUCGUCCAACGCUCGACGGAAGAUGGAGAGCCUGGGGAAUCACUUUGGAUGUGAUCGGAUGCAGACCCCGCCCGGCGCGGACUCCUUCUCCGGGGGCUCCACGAGCCACGUUUCCCCGAGAUGACUAACUGGCUGCAGAGUCACGUCAGGACACAGGCGGUGAGGGGAUGCAUUUUAUUUGCAUGGCAGAUGACACUGUAAUUGGGGACUUGCAGAAUUUGCAUUUAACAACAAAUUAUCAAUUACACAGCUGGACAUUUAGGGAAUACAGUUUAAUUAACUUGCUCAAGGCCAGAGUAGCCAAACAGAAAAGUCCAACCAAAAACUUUAUGUAAUCAAGCUAAAUUCACAAAUCUCCUGGUCUCCUGGGAACCCUAUCAGUGUAAAAUAGCCUGACGGUUCAUGGACCAAGCUAAGGGUCUCCAGCCCUGGUCCUGGAGAGCCACUGGGUCUGCUGGUUUUUGACGUUACUCUGCACCUCACUAAACUAUUAAAAGCAGUCGAUUACACGCCUCAUCUGGUUUCUUGGCUCUAAAUUGGCUAUUGAUAUUUAAGAUGAAAUCAAAAACCACUUGGCACUGCGGCUUUGCUCAAUCAGGUUUGGGGACCUCUGAACUGGAGUCCCAUCAUUCAGAAUGAAGAGCUGAGUCUGUGGAUGUUAUGACACUUGUGCUGUGACUCAAGCAGCUAGCCGCACAAUGCAGUGGGAGAUGUGUAGUUAUGUUGCCUCUGUUGCUGAGAGCCACAAUGUGCCUGUCUUUUAUGUAUGUGAACUCAUCUGCACAACUCCCAUGUCAAACAGAAAAUAAACUGUGUGUGUCAUUAGG